rnacentral:rRNA from 1 species
UACGUAGGGGGCAAGCGUUGUCCGGAAUCAUUGGGCGUAAAGAGCGUGUAGGCGGGUCCGGUAAGUCGGCUGUGAAAGUCCAAGGCUCAACCGUGGAAGUGCAUUCGAAACUGCAGGGCUAGAGUCCUGGAGAGGAAGGUGGAAUGCUUGGUGUAGAGGUGAAAUUCGUAGAUAAUCAAGCGGAACACCGGUGGCGAAGGACGGCCUUCUGGACAGUGACUGACGCUGAGACGCGAAAGCGUGGGGAGCAAACAGGG